rnacentral:rRNA from 1 species
AAUGCCUAGGAAUCUGCCUGGUAGUGGGGGAUAACGUUCGGAAACGGACGCUAAUACCGCAUACGUCCUACGGGAGAAAGCAGGGGACCUUCGGGCCUUGCGCUAUCAGAUGAGCCUAGGUCGGAUUAGCUAGUUGGUGAGGUAAUGGCUCACCAAGGCGACGAUCCGUAACUGGUCUGAGAGGAUGAUCAGUCACACUGGAACUGAGACACGGUCCAGACUCCUACGGGAGGCAGCAGUGGGGAAUAUUGGACAAUGGGCGAAAGCCUGAUCCAGCCAUGCCGCGUGUGUGAAGAAGGUCUUCGGAUUGUAAAGCACUUUAAGUUGGGAGGAAGAGUUGUAGAUUAAUACUCUGCAAUUUUGACGUUACCGACAGAAUAAGCACCGGCUAACUCUGUGCCAGCAGCCGCGGUAAUACAGAGGGUGUAAGCGUUAAUCGGAAUUACUGGGCGUAAAGCGCGCGUAGGUGGUUUGUUAAGUUGGAUGUGAAAUCCCCGGGCUCAACCUGGGAACUGCAUUCAAAACUGACUGACUAGAGUAUGGUAGAGGGUGGUGGAAUUUCCUGUGUAGCGGUGAAAUGCGUAGAUAUAGGAAGG